AGAGCGAACGCUGGCGGCAGGCCUAAUACAUGCAAGUCGAACGGAUCCUUCGGGAUUAGUGGCGGACGGGUGAGUAACACGUGGGAACGUGCCCUUUGGUUCGGAACAACUCAGGGAAACUUGAGCUAAUACCGGAUGUGCCCUUCGGGGGAAAGAUUUAUCGCCAUUGGAGCGGCCCGCGUCUGAUUAGCUAGUUGGUAGGGUAAAGGCCUACCAAGGCUUCGAUCAGUAGCUGGUCUGAGAGGAUGAUCAGCCACACUGGGACUGAGACACGGCCCAGACUCCUACGGGAGGCAGCAGUAGGGAAUCUUGCGCAAUGGCGAAAGCCUGACGCAGCCAUGCCGCGUGAAUGAUGAAGGUCUUAGGAUUGUAAAAUUCUUUCAGCGGGGACGAUAAUGACGGUACCGCAGAAGAAGCCCCGGCUAACUUCGUGCCAGCCAAGCCGC
rnacentral:rRNA from 1 species